rnacentral:lncRNA from 1 species
UUCUCUGCAUCUGAGCCACAUGACCUGCCAAGUUGACACCUGUAUUUUGAUUUCCUUAUGUCUUGCAGAACCUGGAUGCUCCUGAGGACCCCCCAGGAAAGUAAGCACCUGGCAUGUGUAUCAGAAGACCCCCUACUGUCUCACACACAGGCACCGGCUUCUUCUUGACAACGUCCCCGGGUGACUCUUAGAACUCAAUGGCCACGUCCAGCUCAGAGAUCAGAAGCAGUGCGUGUCCCAGAGUGCUACCAUAAUGAUGCCGUCCAGGUCCACAGUACAACCGGCUGCCUUGGUCAUUGCCGUAAUGACAGUACAUUCCAACUUCUCAAGGUAGGACAAUCCAGGGCAUGCUCUGGGAGGCCAGGAGUGACUGGAAGGCUCUGCUACCCCUGUGUUGGGGGGGGUGGAGGGCCCUUAAAAAAUGAGGAGAUAGUUCCAAGUAAAAAUCUUCUU